rnacentral:rRNA from 1 species
CUACGAGCUGCUGCAGUGAGGAAUAUUGCACAAUGGGGGGAACCCUGAUGCAGCAACGCCGCGUGGAGGAUGACGCAUUUCGGUGUGUAAACUCCUUUUAUAUGUCAAGAAAAUGACGGUAGCAUAUGGAUAAGCACCGGCUAACUCCGUGCCAGCAGCCGCGGUAAUACGGAGGGUGCAAGCGUUACUCGGAAUCACUGGGCGUAAAGGACGCGUAGGCGGGUUGGAAAGUCAGGUGUGAAAUCCUACAGCUUAACUGUAGAACUGCACUUGAAACUUCUAAUCUAGAGUAUGGGAGGGGGAGAUGGAAUUAGUGGUGUAGGGGUAAAAUCCGUAGAUAUCACUAGGAAUACCUAAAGCGAAGGCGAUCUCCUGGAACAUUACUGACGCUAAGGCGUGAAAGCGUGGGGAGCAAACAGGAUUAGAUACCCCGGUAGUC